CACGUAGGGCGCGAGCGUUGUCCGGAAUUAUUGGGCGUAAAGAGCUCGUAGGUGGCCUGUUGCGUCCGCUGUGAAAGCCCGGGGCUUAACCCCGGGUCUGCAGUGGAUACGGGCAGGCUAGAGGUAGGUAGGGGAGAAUGGAAUUCCCGGUGUAGCGGUGAAAUGCGCAGAUAUCGGGAGGAACACCGGUGGCGAAGGCGGUUCUCUGGGCCUUACCUGACGCUGAGGAGCGAAAGCGUGGGGAGCGAACAGG
rnacentral:rRNA from 1 species